GGAUUUCUGGCGGGAGCGGGUGGUCCGGCACUUAGUGUUGGUACUUUCCUGUCUCUUGCCAUCCUUGGGUCUAAGCUGUCUGGCAUUUAGUUGUCGGGCAGUGGCUGCCCAUCGUUUACUGUGAAAAAAUUAGAGUGUUCAAAGCAGGCUUAUGCCGUUGAAUAUAUUAGCAUGGAAUAAUAAGAUAGGACCUUGGUACUAUUUUGUUGGUUUGCGCACCGAGGUAAUGAUUAAGAGGGACAGUUGGGGGUAUUCGUAUUCAAUUGUCAGAGGUGAAAUUCUUGGAUUUCUGGAAGACGAACUACUGCGAAAGCAUUUACCAAGGAUGUUUUCAUUAAUCAAGAACGAAAGUUAGGGGAUCGAAGAUGAUUAGAUACCAUCGUAGUCUUAACCAUAAACUAUGCCGACUAGGGAUUUGUGGGUGUUAUUUAUGACCCC
rnacentral:rRNA from 1 species